GAUGAGAAGGAGAAUAAGCCUCAUUCUUGUUCAUAGUAAAGAAUCGAUGAAAAGACUUUUUACCUCUUGCCACCAGACAUGUUUUAUCUGAGCUUAAAGAACUGGAAAACACACAUGAAAGAAGUGUUUCCCUGGAAGGAUGAA
ensembl:misc_RNA